AGACGGAGAGAAGGGGAUAGAGAGCCUUGUUCCCCUCUUCAGAGAUCCAUGUGGGGAACAGAUACAGUAAUGUAAUGUGUAGCAAAUUAUAGCUCAAUACACUAAAAAUAUCUAAUUCGGUAGCUCCAUCUGCAAUGGUUCAAGCUAGCUGUUGAGUUAGCUUACAGUUUGUUUUUGUUAAACCUAGUCUACUGUAAUGUUGUUGAGGAUGAGAAAGACUUAUUAGGCAAAAAGAUGACUAAUUUAGUUAUGUUUUUUUAAGGACCUAAGGAGAACAGAGAUACCAUGCCCUAUGUACUGCUCCAAGAUCAGUUAUCUCCCCCCAAUGGUAAACCACAUCUGCUGUGCAUCUAAAAGACAGAACUGUCUCCAGGUCAGAUUUUAACCACAGUAUUGUAAUCUAUUUGGCACAUGCUCAGUUCAUGUUAUAAUAGCUCAGAAGAGCCUAAAACCAGAAUUUACAUUAUUAUGGUGUUGGGUUAAAUGCAGAAGACCAUAUUUCAGUUGAAUACGAUUAGUUGUACAACUGACAAGGUAUCCCCUCUUUCACUUUCUGUUGUACAACUGACUAGGUAUCUCCCCUUUCUGUUGUACAACUGACUAGGUAUCCCCCCUUUCUGUUGUACAACUGACUAGGUAUCCCCCUUUAACUUUCUGUUGUACAACUGACUAGGUACCCCCCUUCCCUUUCUGUUGUACAACUGACUAGGUCUCCCCCUUUCUGUUGUACAACUGACUAGGUCUCCCCCUUUCUGUUGUAUAACUGACUAGGUACCCCCCUUUCCACCUGACUAGGUACCCCCCUUUCCACCUGACUAGGUAUCCCCCCUUUCCACCUGACUAGGUAUCCCCCCUUUCCACCUGACUUGGUACCCCCCUUUCCAACUGACUAGGUAUCCCCCCUUUCU